rnacentral:misc_RNA from 1 species
UCCAUCAAGUCGGAGGUUGACAGUUAACAAGGCAGCUGUAAGUGGAAGUCAUAUAUGAAGCAUUUUUAUUUUUUUCCUUAAUAUGCAGUAAGCUUAGCUUGUGAGUGCAAAAGGUUAGCCACGACCUUGUUUCCUCUCCUUGGAUGCCGCAUGGGCAUGAUGAGCAUUUCAUCAUGCACUUCUAAAUAUAACCGAAUCUCUAUUUAGAUCCAAAUGGCUAAAAGAAAUAGAAAAGGGAACCACUAUGGUACUAUUAGUGCACAUAUUUGUAGAUUGAAGUCAUUAUAUGCCAAAUGUUCUAUUCAUGUACUGUUGCAUAUUUCUGGCUACCAUUGAGAAAUUUCAUCGUGUCAAAAAAAUGCAUCCAAUUGGGGGUUGGUGUUUAAGAAAAUGAUUCCGAAGAUCAAGUCCCACCUGUGUUUCUUUUGUGUGUCUGUCUUUGAAGGCAUUUCUUUUGUGCGUCUGUCUGGAAAUAUAGGCAUUCUUUCUUUCAAUGCCAAAUAGGUUUCCUCUAAUAACUGAAGCUUAAUUCUGUUGUCUCUUCUUAAAAUUCCCCAGGGAGGCCAAAGCAAGCCUGGGCAAACCCCGCGGAAAUCUGAGAAUGAUUCAAGUACCCCAAGGUUACUGGGAACUGCUGGGGAGCUACCUUCUGGAAACAAGAGAUAAGAAAAGAUUCACAGUUGUGUAUUUAUUGCAACAGUUCUGAAAAGAAAGGUCCUUUUUGUCCAUACGGCAAUAAAUAUGAAAUAAAUGCUUGUAAUAUAUGAAAAUAGUGUACUGAGCAGACUAUCUAUUCCUUUCAGCAACGUGCUCUUCCAUUGCG